GCGCUGCUCUACCGCGGCGAACGUGCCGCCCGGGCGCUGCUGACGCUCGCGGCCGACAUCCGCGCCUGGGCGCGACGCAUCGCUGCGCGCGCCGCCGCGCUGCCCCCGACCGCUCUUCCGGUCCCGCUCCUGGCCGAGACGAUCGGCUGGAUCGUCCGCCCCGCGGCGCAUGUCGGGGAUGAUCGGCGCCGCGGCCCGCCCCUGACUCUCGCGCUCUGAUCCCUGUCCCGCCCGUGACGCGAAGUCCGGGCGGGGAUCCGCGUGCGCGCCGACGCGUCGUCCACCCGGACGUCUCUGCAUCGGCGUGCGAUCGAUCGGUGGUGUGCUGUGUCGUCGUCCCGUUUUCAUCUGCGAGCUGCCCUUCUCGCCGCGACCCUGGCGGCCGCGGCCGUACUCGUGCCCGCUGCGCCGGCCGCGGCUCACGACGAGCUGCUGGCGAGUAGUCCGAGCCCCGGCGCGGCACUCGACAGCGCGCCGACGGAGGUGACGCUCACCUUCUCGGCCGACGUGCUGACGAUCGGCGCGGCCGUCAUCGUCGCCGACGGCGCGGGGAAGGACUGGGCAGCGGCCGCACCCGCCGUCGACAACGGCGUGGUGUCGGUACCGCUCGUUCCGGCGCUUCCCGCCGGCGGAUACGAGAUCCGCUGGCGCGUCGUCUCGCAGGACGGCCAUCCGAUCAGCGGAGUCGUCCCGUUCACGAUCGGAGGCGCGGCGCCGCUGACGCGGACACCCGUCGCCACGCCGGCGACACGCGCAGCAUCGGACGCCGCCACCGCCGACACCACCCCACAGGACCAGAGCGCACGAGAGGACCAGGGGAUCAUCCGCAUCCUCCUGGUCGGCGCGGGCGGGGCGAUCAUCGCCGUCGCCGCCCACGCCGCCUUCCAUCUCCUCCGCCGUAAGAAAGGCACUUCACAGUGAGCAUCCACACCACCACCCGCACCCGCCUGACCGUCGCCGCGCGCGCCGGCGCUCUGCUGAGCGUCGGCCUGCUGGCGCUCGCCGGGUGCGCCACCACGACCCCGUCGGCGGGAUCAACCCCCUCGACGUCGGCGAGCGCCGCCGACACCAGCGGCGCCGCCGUGACGAUCUCCGACGCGUGGGUCAAGGCGGCCGACUCCGGCAUGUCCGCCGCCUUCGGCACUCUCCACAACGACUCGAAGACGGACAUCACUCUCGUGUCGGCGACCUCGCCGGCAUCGUCCAUGCUGCAGCUGCACGAGACCGUCGCCGAUGCGUCGGGCGCCAUGGUCAUGAAGGAGAAGAGCGGCGGGAACCAGCCGUGGAGGCUACACGAGUGAGAAUGCAGGCAUGAGUAGCGAAAGACGUGUGAGAAACACGUCCUCCGAAAGACCAAGGGUUCCAGGGUCAAGCUAAUCUUCCCUGGGUAAGUCGGGACCUAAGGCGAGGCCGACAGGCGUAGUCGAUGGACAACGGGUUGAUAUUCCCGUACCGGCGAAGAACCGCCCAAGCUAAUCCAGUGGUGCUAAGUGCCCGAAUCCUGUCGUAUCGAUCCCUUCGGGGUGAGAGCUUCAGGGCUAGCGCAUGACCCCAUGCUGGUGCGGUUAGCGUAUUAACAGGUGUGACGCAGGAAGGUAGCCCAAGCCAGGCGAUGGUUGUCCUGGUGCAAGUGCGUAGGCCGAGUCAUAGGCAAAUCCGUGACUCGUUACGGCUGAGACACGAUGCGGAUAAAAAGUGGGUGAUCCUAUGCUGCCAAGAAAAGCAUCGACGCGAGGUUCUAGCUGCCCGUACCCCAAACCGACUCAGGUGGUCAGGUAGAGAAUACCAAGGAGAUCGAGAGAAUCGUGGUUAAGGAACUCGGCAAAAUGCCCCCGUAACUUCGGGAGAAGGGGGGCCAUCCACUUAUAUGAGCUUGCCUCAAAAAGGGUGUGGUGGCCGCAGAGACUAGUGGGUAGCGACUGUUUAUUAAAAACACAGGUCCGUGCCAAGUCGCAAGACGAUGUAUACGGACUGACGCCUGCCCGGUGCUGGAAGGUUAAGAGGACCGGUUAGCCGCAAGGCGAAGCUGAGAAUUUAAGCCCCAGUAAACGGCGGUGGUAACUAUAACCAUCCUAAGGUAGCGAAAUUCCUUGUCGGGUAAGUUCCGACCUGCACGAAUGGCGUAACGACUUCCCAACUGUCUCAACCGCGAACUCGGCGAAAUUGCACUACGAGUAAAGAUGCUCGUUACGCGCAGCAGGACGGAAAGACCCCGUGACCUUUACUACAGCUUGGUAUUGGUGUUCGGUGUGGCUUGUGUAGGAUAGGUGGGAGACUGUGAAGCGGUGACGCUAGUUACCGUGGAGUCAUUGUUGAAAUACCACUCUGGUCACUCUGGAUAUCUAACUUCGAACCGUAAUCCGGUUCAGGGACAGUGCCUGGUGGGUAGUUUAACUGGGGCGGUUGCCUCCCAAAAAGUAACGGAGGCGCCCAAAGGUUCCCUCAACCUGGUUGGCAAUCAGGUGGCGAGUGUAAGUGCACAAGGGAGCUUGACUGUGAGACUGACAGGUCGAGCAGGGACGAAAGUCGGGACUAGUGAUCCGGCAGUGGCUUGUGGAAGCGCUGUCGCUCAACGGAUAAAAGGUACCUCGGGGAUAACAGGCUGAUCUUGCCCAAGAGUCCAUAUCGACGGCAUGGUUUGGCACCUCGAUGUCGGCUCGUCGCAUCCUGGGGCUGGAGUAGGUCCCAAGGGUUGGGCUGUUCGCCCAUUAAAGCGGUACGCGAGCUGGGUUUAGAACGUCGUGAGACAGUUCGGUCCCUAUCCGCUGCGCGCGUAGGAAAUUUGAGAGGAUCUGACCCUAGUACGAGAGGACCGGGUUGGACGAACCUCUGGUGUGCCAGUUGUUCCGCCAGGAGCACCGCUGGUUAGCUACGUUCGGGAUGGAUAACCGCUGAAAGCAUCUAAGCGGGAAGCCGGCCUCAAGAUGAGAUUUCCAUACCUUCGGGUGAGAGGCUCCCAGCCAGACUACUGGGUUGAUAGGCCGGAUGUGGAAGCGUGGCAACACGUGAAGCUGACCGGUACUAAUAAGCCGAUGACUUGAUAAC
rnacentral:rRNA from 1 species